rnacentral:lncRNA from 1 species
UGAGUGUGGAGGGUGAUGGUGGGGAGAUGGUACCUCUAGGCCUGUCUUAUUUCAGCACAGAGGAACUUCUCAUGCUGCAGCGUAGAUGGCAGGGCCUGGCGACCCUUCAGGAAAUUGAGUAGAGGUAGGAGGGGUGGAGACCUUUGCUAACUGCCUCACCUUCCCUCUGCAAAUUUUUACGCAGCUCUUCCCCACAUGAUCCCUCCAGAGCCCAGUGGCCGGGCGUGGGGGAAAGGAGGUUUCUCUGCCAUGUUUAGCUGGAAAUCUGAACAUAUCUCCUUAAGCAGCAUUCACACAGAAAUGAGCAAGCGCUGGUCGCAGAGUGGGAAAAGCUAAGGAUUAGACCGGACCAGAGGAAGACACUCCUUGUCUUAGUCUGUUUGGACUACAGUAACAGAAUACAGAGACCGGGUGGCUUAUAAACAACAGAAACUUUUGUCUCACAGUUGUGGGGCCUGGCAAGUCCAAGAUCAAGGUGUUGGCAGACUCGGCAUCUGGUGAGUGUGAGGGCACCUUCUGAGUGUGUGUCCUGACACGCUGGAAGGGGCAGGCCUGCUCCCCUUCUUAGAAAAUCACCACCCCACGUGUAAAGGUGAACCCUCAUUGCUUCCUCAUGUCAUCCCCUCGAGGUUAGGAUUCCAGCAUAUGAAUACAAAGGUUCAGACCACAGCGCCC